UGGGGAAUAUUGGGCAAUGGGGGCAACCCUGACCCAGCGACGCCGCGUGGGGGAAGGCGGCCUUCGGGUUGUAAACCUCUUUUGUACGGGAAGAAGGAAGUGACGGUACUGUACGAAUAAGUCCCGGCUAACUACGUGCCAGCAGCCGCGGUAAUACGUAGGGGACGAGCGUUGUCCGGAAUUACUGGGCGUAAAGGGCGCGCAGGCUGUGCUGCAAGUCAGCUGUUGAAUGUCUGGGCUUAACCCGGGCAUGCGGUUGAGACUGCAGUGCUGGAGUGCUGUAGAGGCAAGUGGAAUUCCCAGUGUAGCGGUGAAAUGCGUAGAUAUUGGGAAGAACACCGGUGGCGAAGGCGACUUGCUGGGCAGCAACUGACGCUGAGGCGCGAAAGCCAGGGGAGCAAACGG
rnacentral:rRNA from 1 species